rnacentral:rRNA from 1 species
GUAGGCUGAAACUCNCCUACAUGAAGCUGGAAUUGCUAGUAAUCACAGGUCAGCAUACUGUGGUGAAUACGUUCCCGGGCCUUGUACACACCGCCCGUCACACCAUGAGAGUUGAGAAUACCCGAAGCCCAUGUCAAAGUGGUCGAAGGUAGGCUUGAUGAUUGGGGUGAAGUCGUAACAAGGUAGC